ACAGAUGCUCCAUCUCUGAUGACAGAAGAUCUAAAAUUCUCAGAGUGAGAAUCAGUGAUGUGAGAGAAGAUGAUGGAGGAGUUUAUUUCUGUGGAGCUGAGGAAAGAAUGGGGUCAAUCAGCUAUAAGUCCUUCUUUACAGAGAUUCAGCUCCAGGUUUCUGAAACAUCAAGUCCAUCUACAACAGAAAAAACACAAGUCUCAUCUGAUAAAGAAGAUUUCAGUGCUUCAGGUUCCCCUGUGAUCAUCAUCACUGUGAGUGUCUGUGUGGCUCUGCUGCUGAUGGGAGGAUCAGCACUGAUCUUCUACAAACUGAGAUGCACC